rnacentral:lncRNA from 1 species
AGGGGACAUUAGGACUUAGCUCGAGAGCCACGGGCUCUGGGCUGCGGAGGAGGUUGGAGGUGACCUUCCAGAAGGAACUUGGGACAAGGGAGCCAGUGAGCACCUGGUAGGUAGUGGUUACUCUCUGAGGAGCCAGCAUCAGGCCAGCAGCACCAGCCAAAUAGAAGGGGGGAGAAGUGGCCUCCAGCUUCCCAGUUUGGGCUUGGGCCAAGACGACAAAGAAAAGGGUCCACCUUCUUCCCUCCAGGUCAGAUGACCCUGAACUGUAUCAAGUAGAAAAAUGUCUAACCAGGACAGAGGAAGAUACGAACCCUCGAAGCUCAUAGACGGGUGGUGAUGUGGUUUCCAACUGACUUUCAAGCAAACAGAUUUCCAAGCGUGCUUGAAGAGGGAAGCAAAUGAGAAGGCAGGAGAUACAAGAGAGGUUUGCUGGAAAUCGUGGCUGACCACCUCAGAAGCAUCCAAAAGACCUGAACUUUCUGGUUUUGCCUUUCACCUUGCUCUGAAACUUUUCCCAACACUGGAAGACAAGAAAGUCCCCACCCCCACCCUGUCCCAUCCCUGGGCCGGGGAGACUCUUCUCAUUGGGCAAGCAGGCUUGCUGGGCAAACGUGAGCCCCUGAGUUCCCAUCCCCAUAGAAAGCUGGACAUGGACAUGCAUGCCUGUUUCUGCAGUAUGGUCAACUCUGGGAGCUCUCUGGUCUCCUAUAAAUAAAGGAUAGCACAU